rnacentral:rRNA from 1 species
CCCUUAGAUGUUCUGGGCUGCACGCGUGCUACAAUGGCGUUUCCAGCAAGUCUGCGAACCCGAGAGGGCCAGCGGAUCUUCGAAUUGGCGUCGUGAUCGGGACAGUCGAUUGCAAUUAUUUGACUCAAACGAGGAAUUCCUUGUAAUCGCGAUUCAUCAUAUCGCGCUGAAUACGUCCCUGCCCUUUGUACACACCGCCCGUCGCACCUACCGAUUGAAUGUUUCGGUGAAGAUUCCGGAUAGGACUUUUUUGAUUUAUUUCAAUUUUGUCUUAAAAGCUAUCUAAACCUCAACAUUUAGAGGAAGGUGAAGUCGUAACA